ensembl:lncRNA
AUGACUGUUACAAUGAUCCCCCUUCUUGAAGGGUCACAUUGCUCUCAGAGAAUUCAAAAACAUUGUUGCUGCAAGAGAAGCAUUCUCCCAUGGAGCAGGUCUAGGCUUUGUGAGAUGUGGGCUGAGAGUUCCAGAGUCAUGAUGAUGUCACAGGACACUGUUUUACAACACUGCUAUUAUGUUCACUUGAGAGUCUUCUAUAUGUCAUGUUACCUCUUUACCACUAAACCUGAGAUGAACAGCUUCUAUGCUUGGUGCUUACGAAGAGAUCAAAGGCAGAGACUGACACUCAUCUAGAAAAUCUUCAAGGACCUAAAAUAGACGAAAUUACGAAAGGCCAGAAAGUCUUGGUGUUUUCUUCUAUGAAGAAAAUAACAAAGUGAGACAUACGACCCAGCAGGUUGUAAAAAAAGACCAUUAAUUUUUAUAGGUCAGUGUAACGUACAAAUAUGUGUCAUUUUUUUAAUUUCUAUUUUUCAUUUUCUAAUGUUAAGCUGGUGGGAGAGCUUAAGGAAACAGCAAGAGAAAAAUUGGGGACUUAGAGUCCUGAACCUUUAUAAGUCCUAGCAAAAUGAUGAUGGUGAUUAAAAUGUUUAACUUUAAAAAAAUCCUAAAUGUAAUUGUGAUGUUUAAAAAUUGUUCAGUUGUUAUAAAUCUAAAUGAAUUUCAUAUGAGUAGAAGUAAAGAAGAAGCCAAAUAUGGUCAUAUGCUAGACCCAGGUAGAUCACCCUUGACACUAUUAACAUUUUGGGAUAGAUACUUGGUGGCAGCCAUUCUGUGCAUCAUAGAAUUAGAAGCAGCAUCUCUGGCCUCUUAUUGAAUGCCAUUCUCACUACACUCCCAAGUGAUGACAAAAAAAAAAAAAAAAAAAAAAAAAAGUCUGGGACAAUGACACAGUUCCCUGGUCAAGGAGUCACCACCUAGUUGAGAAUCACUAUUCUAGGCUCUAUUUGAAAUUUAAAUCUAUAAAAAUAUUACCUACUCCUCAAGGAGUGUAACAUCUACUGAGGGAGGAAGAUUGGCUAUAAACUUAUUUUAGUUUACCCAAUUCAAAUAAGACUACAAGUAGUAUCAGGAGAGAAAUUUCAAUGAACUUUUUUGAUAGAACACUAAAAAAUCCCAGAGAGAAUGAAUUUGGAAGAAAAAUCAAGAAAUAUUGUACAGGUAGGGUAAAAUCUGACUUGAAAGGUGAUUAGACUAUCUAUCUAUCUAUCUUUCUAUGUGUGUAUGUGUGUGUGUAUAAGAGAGAUGUCAAAAGUUAGAAAAUAUAUUAAGUGUUUGAGAAAUGAAAAAAUCCAUUGCAAUCAACUUAUUUUAGGGUAAAUGAUAGGAGGUUGGAAAGAUAGGCUGAACGAAUAUUUAGAAAGAGAUUUAACAGUAAGGCGAGAAGUUAGAGUUUUCCUUUUCUUCCACCAAGCACUAAAGUACUAAUUGGUAUAUUAGAUCCCAGUGAAAAUAUUCUUACUUUAUGAAUAUAACUUUUAAAGUUUUAACAAACAAUUAUAAAACAAUAGUAUUCUACUCUCCAUUACUUAGGUAACAUCUUAAAAACCAUAUAUCAGGUUAGUGAUGGUCUACAAAUGGCAAGUCAUGCAUCUAUAAUGAUAAAUGGAAAGCUUCAGGAAUGUUAGCCUCAUAAGUAAUUUAAUUUCCAAACAUGGUUUUCACUUUUUUUCUAAUGAAAAGAUGAGUAUUUGAAGCAAUAAAGGUAGAAAAUUAUCUCUAAGAUGCUUAUGA